UUAAAAUGUAAACCAGAUAUCAAUGUUUACAGUAGCAAGCACCAACCAAAAUGGUUAAGAGUCCAGUUUAAUAGCCAAAAUUCACGAUGUACAUAAAUUCACAGAUUCACUCAAUUAAGGACAGAUGAAAAAAAUCAGUGUGUCAAACUAAUAAGUGUAGGACUAUUUUGACGACCAAGAGAUAUUGCCAAGUUGCACCAAAAAAAGGAUGGAGAGGGAUUAUAAAAUUUGAGUUGAUAAUUAAUCAUAACAUAAACAAGUUAUUUUUUAGGUCAUGGCUAUUUGUUAGUAUCUGGACAAAUAGCAGUUUUGGCUAUUGUCUUGCUACCCAGUCAAAUGUUGUUUUUUGGCUAAUUGUCUGGUAAUUCUGUCAAAUAACAUUUAAAUGUCGUGCAUUAUUCACUAUUUCAAAUGAUAUUUUUAAAAUGAUAAACUAGAAAAUAUACAAAUAUAUUUAUUAAGAUAAACAAAGUUGUCAUGAUUUCAGAUGAGAUGUACAAACAUGUUAAAAUGUAAA
rnacentral:lncRNA from 1 species